rnacentral:other from 1 species
GUAUGGAUGUGAUCUUGCUUUCUUAUAUAAAUUCCGAGUUUCUAAAAAGAAAGUAGUGCUAUUCAUAUAGUUCCCUUAGCUAUUUAGCUUUACGACCCAGGAUGGGGAGAGGCAGCCCCUCAAUAUCCAGGGUAUCUCGGUAGGCUCCAAAACAUUAAGUCGUGUGAGGAGCGACAGAAUCGACUUGCAGAUACAAAA